CCUACGGGAGGCAGCAGUGGGGAAUCUUCCGCAAUGGGCGCAAGCCUGACGGAGCAACGCCGCGUGAGUGAAGAAGGUCUUCGGAUCGUAAAGCUCUGUUGAUGGGGACGAACGUGCCUAAUGCGAAUAGUUUUAGGCAAUGACGGUACCCAUCGAGGAAGCCACGGCUAACUACGUGCCAGCAGCCGCGGUAAUACGUAGGUGGCAAGCGUUGUCCGGAAUCAUUGGGCGUAAAGGGAGCGCAGGCGGGCAUGUAAGUCUUUCUUAAAAGUGCGGGGCUCAACCCCGUGAUGGGAAAGAAACUAUAUGUCUUGAGUACAGGAGAGGAAAGCGGAAUUCCCAGUGUAGCGGUGAAAUGCGUAGAUAUUGGGAGGAACACCAGUGGCGAAGGCGGCUUUCUGGACUGCAACUGACGCUGAGGCUCGAAAGCCAGGGGAGCGAACGGGAUUAGAUACCCUUGUAGUC
rnacentral:rRNA from 1 species